UGCAAGUUCCUGAAUUUCUUUGGCACGCAUAACAGAGUGGACAGAAGCAUCUCAAUCUUCACGUGUGGUGGUGUUGGGCCAGGUACAGCCUGCCUACAUGGAUCAUGUCUCCAGAGACACUGCUUACUGCUUUGGGUAAAGCAGUGGCAGUGGAGAAGAAGCAUUUACCUGAAUAUCUGCAAAAUGCAAGCAGAAGGAAAGCUGUGGUUCAAGGUGCUGAAGAAAUGCCAAAGGACAAGCUAAUGCUGCAUGUUGCUAGCCACCUGCUGCAGGAUACUUCACCCAUUUGGAGAACCGUGCAUAGAACACUACCACCUUCAGUCAGCAGGAUGUGUCUGAUACGAGAGCUGCUACCUGCCACCUGAUGUGUCUCACCCUGGGAGACAGGACGAUGAAGCUACAUUUCAAGCAACUGAUAAUGUGUUCGUGAGCAGUUCUCCUGUUGCAGCCCAUUUUUCAAAGGAAGUGUGAAGACCGAUGCUCCAAAGUAACAUUUCUACCCUGAAGUCAAAUCAUCUGCUUAGCAUCUUGCUCUGGAAGGACCCACAACUGCAGCUCUGGCACACAGAGAACAGGACGCCUAAAUGGGGAAUGCUGGUGCUCAUCCACUCCUGCUGCGUGAAUGAACACUGUGAGAAUUCCCUUGACACAGGAAAGUGUUGUGGUAUCAGACUCAACAUUAAUUGGUGUGGUAACAGGAGGGUUCCUCCAGGCUCAAGAAACAUUAUAAAACCCCCCUUCUCCAAAUCAGCUGCUAACAGUCAAUUUAAGAGAGCUUCACAUCUUGUAUUCUGCUGCAUACAUCUUUUUGAAGUGUAAUGCCAAUCCUGACCUCUGUGACACACCAUCUUACAGUUACAUAGUAGGACAGUCAUGUCCUAUCAUGUAAGACACCCUACAAGCUGCUGCAAAUGACAGUGGGGAGACUGUACAGCUCUUGGUGAUGCAAGGUCCUUGAUAUGGACUUAUCACACUGUGAGGUGUAUUGUGGCAGAUGGGGGUUAAACUGUUGGCAAUCCAGUGCCUACAAAAUCUAAGCAUGGUUUCUCUUGCAGGACUUAUCCUCCUAAUUUUCUUGAGAAAGGAUGGAGUCUUUUGUAUAUUACAUAGAAAGAAUAACAGAAGUUCUUUGGAAAAACAAAAUAUAUGCUCUGCGAUUUCUGAAGUGAGAGUACACAGAGUUCAGGUAUGCCAAUUCCAUUUGCAUGUUUCUUUGGAAUGCUGAAAUGAAUACAGCAAAUGAAUAGUAAUGUCAAGACACUGCAAAAACAAAAAGCACUGAAAGAGAAUUCUCGUGGACUGAUGAACUGAGAGCUGAAAUGGGAGCAGCAGAUUUUACAGUGUGAGUGAUGCUAAUUUUUCAGCCUAACAACCAACCAUGCACUGAAGCCCUGCUACUUCUGAGCUGACAUCAUCCAGAUGAGAAAGCUUCUUUCUAGUAACUUAUCAGCCUGGAAAACCAGCCCUGCAGGGUAACACCCAACCCAUGCUUUAAAUGUCAAGGAGAAAAACAUCUUUGUAUUGCCGAGCAGUCACAGCAGCUUCACUUCUGAUUUGAUAGCCUUGGAUGGAAGCAGGUACCAGCAUGAUGAUUCAGAAACCCUUGAAGAUAUAGUCAUAUUUUCAGCAACAGAUGGAUUUAACACUGCAGAUGGAGUGUUAAGAGUGCAGGGGCUGCUGGAGACCUGCCAACAGGAACUACUGACUGCAGAUUUGGGAAGAACGCAGGCAGUUUGGAAAGCGCGGUUUGCAGAGUUGUCUGUGGACUCUGAGAACAUAUUUAAAACCAGAAUUCUCUCUGGAACAUUGACUCUCGCUUGAUGGUAUGAUAGACUUCUACUUUAGAUCUGGAUUGCCUCAUGAGGUUCCCGCUGGCUGGUUGCAAUACCACUGAGAAUGGAAGGUCCAAAGCUGCAGCAGGAGGAAGGAACUUGGAAAAUGCAACUGGUGCGGAAGAGCGAGCAAGGUCACUGGUGACAAGGCUCUGCUCCAUCUGUGCAGGCAUGCUCUUGAACAGAAGCAUUCCAGCAACAUGGCAUUUUGUCACAUUAUUCCAUUCCUUAUAAAUUUCAAUAGCCAGUUAUUUGCCUGCCUUUAGUUGGGAAACAAAGCCCCUCUUUGUGCAGCAACACAACGUGGCUAUCUCAUGUAACGGAGAAAUGAAAAGCAAAUAACGCAGGAAUUGUGCUUGUCUGGGGAAGAGGAAAGCAUUGUCUUGUGACAAGAGGAGAAGAAAGUGGUGUUGCCCAGUGCUUCCGACUGUCAGUCCUAAAAGAUAGAAGAAACCACCAUUUGUGGAGUCUUCUGAUAACACUGACAUUGAAAUCUCCCAUGUCCCCAUUUCAUCAUUCCCAGAGUGGGGAUGAAAAUUAAUCUGCUCUUUUAUGCAAUUCAGCAAAGCAUUUUAAAUUGCUUUUUUCCUUUUUAAGUAUACUAGAUGUCCAACUGCCUACACAGAGCAACAUUCAUGCUGAGGUAUGCAGUGGCGUUGGGUCUGAAUUAUUUGUAAAGGACUUAGAGAAUUCUAAGUGAGAGUCAUUAAAUUACAG
ensembl:lncRNA